rnacentral:rRNA from 1 species
AUUGAACGCUGGCGGCAGGCCUAACACAUGCAAGUCGAGCGAGCGGCGGACGGGUGAGUAAUGUAUGGGGACUGCCCGAUAGAGGGGGAUAACUACUGGUAACGGUGGCUAAUACCGAAUACUAUCGGAUGACCCAUAUGGGAUUAGCUAGUAGGUGGGGUAAAGGCUCACCAGGGCGACGAACUCUAGCUGGGCUGAGAGGAUGAUCAGCCACACGGGGACGAUGAAACGGCCCAGACUCCUACGGAGGGAGCAGUGGGGAAUAUUGCACAGUGGGCGCAAGCCUGAUGCAGCCAUGCAGAGGGUAUGAAGAAGGCCUUAGGGUUGUAAAGUACUUUCAGCGGGGAGGCGUUACCCGCAGAAGAAGCACCGGCUAACUCCGUGCCAGCAGCCGCGGUAAUAC